rnacentral:rRNA from 1 species
AAUAGAUACCCCGGUAGUCCACGCCCUAAACUAUGUCGACUAGUUGUUGGGGGAGUCUGUCCCUCAGUAACGUAGCUAACGCGUGAAGUCGACCGCCUGGGGAGUACGGUCGCAAGAUUAAAACUCAAAGGAAUUGACGGGGACCCGCACAAGCGGUGGAUUAUGUGGAUUAAUUCGAUGCAACGCGAAGAACCUUACCUACCCUUGACAUGCCAGGAACCCUCGCAGAGAUGUGAGGGUGCCCGAAAGGGAACCUGGACACAGGUGCUGCAUGGCUGUCGUCAGCUCGUGUCGUGAGAUGUUGGGUUAAGUCCCGCAACGAGCGCAACCCUUGCCAUUAGUUGCUACAUUCAGUUGGGCACUCUAAUGGGACUGCCGGUGACAAACCGGAGGAAGGUGGGGAUGACGUCAAGUCCUCAUGGCCCUUAUGGGUAGGGCUUCACACGUAAUACAAUGGCGCAUACAGAGGGCUGCAAACCCGCGAGGGGGAGCCAAUCCCAAAAAGUGCGUCGUAGUCCGGAUUGUUCUCUGCAA